CCCAGCCCCGCAGCGCCUCCACCCCAGAGACCCGGACCAAGUUCACACAGGACAAUCUGUGCCACGCCCAGCGCGAGCGCCUGGACUCGGCCAACCUGUGGGUGCUGGUGGACUGCAUCCUUCGCGACACCUCCGAGGACCUGGGACUCCAGUGUGACGCCGUGAACCUGGCCUUCGGGCGCCGCUGUGAGGAACUGGAGGACGCGCGGCACAAGCUGCAGCACCACCUGCACAAGAUGCUGCGGGAAAUCACAGAUCAGGAACACAACGUGGUGGCACUGAAGGAGGCCAUCAAGGACAAGGAGGAACCUCUGCACAUAGCCCAGACCCGGCUGUAGUUGCUCUCACACCGGCCCAACAUGCAGCUGUGCCGCGAUGCAGCCCAGUUCAGCCCCAGCUCACACCCCCCAACACCCCCAAGCUGGUGAGUGAGGUGGAGGAGCUGUACAAGUCCAUCACAGCGCUGCGGGAGAAGCUUCUACAAGCGGAGCAGUCCCUGCGCAACCUCAAGGACAUCCACAUGAGCCUGGAGAAGGACGUCACUGCCAUGACCAACAGUCUCUUCAUCGACCGCCAGAAGUGCAUGGCCCAUCGUACUUGCUACCCCACCAUUCUGCAGCUGGCUGGCUACCAGUGAGCAGCGGCACGGUGCUUCCCCCCAAUCCCCCAAAUAAACAGUGCGUUAGCUUUCU
rnacentral:lncRNA from 1 species